rnacentral:lncRNA from 11 species
GCUCUUUUGUACGUGUACAGCGUUUUCGUUGCUGCCCACGAAACGGUAAAAUUAUGUAAAUUCUGUCGUUGUGUUAGGUGUAAUUUUUAGACCGUCGUGUACAUUAUGGCUUGCGGUAACGGCGUACGGGAUUUCUUGCACCAGAUGCUUCCAUGAUAAUAAACUCGUUACGUUUACGUAUUGGAUGCGUAGGAGCUACUCAGAAGCAAACCUCUACCUUCCUAAUGUAAAGGAAAAUUGCCGCGUUCCGCAUCUGCUGAAACCAAACAGACGAUCUUUGCUCGAUAAAUCAUGCAACUGUAUGUUAUUCUGGAUGAACGUGCCUCGUUAACUAAAUAGCCAAAUUCAGUGAAGUCGUUAACUCGUACUAAAUUGUACGUUUUUGAUCCUCCUAACCUCGUUCCAUACAAGUAACGAAUUUUAAUAUAACAGAUACUACAUUUGUUAAUAAAACUAUUAUUAUUACUUUUAUAUGUAUUCUCUUUCGAAAAUUCGCUUCAACUUACUCGGGGUGACGCGGCAAAAUGCUCUGACCGAAUACGCUUCUGCCGUACCUAAACGCAACGUGAGUGGAACGACAAAGACCGUCGAAGAGCAAAGCCUACCGCAUAGAUGCGACAUCAAUGUAGAUCUUUCAGCCAGGAAGCCUUCGUGUGCAAUUGAGAGUGGUCCAAUGGAGCAGGGAAUGCUAGGUCUGCGACGACGUGAGAAAAAAUCGGCUACUCCGACUUGAUUUGGGGUAGAGGAAUCAUUUUUGCUGGAAGAACACGACAGACAACCGAAUCCUGUGUAAACGAGGGCUAUAUCUGAGAAUAGCAACAGUAACAGCGACGAGCCUCAAACUGGCCAGAGCCUAAUUCUUUGCUUAUAGUUCAUGGAAACGAUGUACAGUGAUAGUAAUAAUAAUGAACAGUGUCGUAUAUACCAAUAAUCAUAAUUGGAAAAUAAAA